UUGGAUGGAUGACGCUGAACAUGACAUUUCUAAUGCAGCGCUCGACAUAAUCACCCACACAAAAGGAAGCCAAAUCCAGGGACUACAUGCUGUGGCUGUACGGCAGCUGCAGGACGUUGGCAAGUCUUCUUGGAUGUCCUGCAGGACCCAGUGAGCCCAGGCCCAGAGGAAUUCUAGUGACAGCGCGCUCUCAACUCUCCUUCAUGAACUACCAUUGCCAAAAGGUGUCCUUGAGUGAGGGUAGCAGGGAGUGAAAGAGGAGGAGAAAAGAAAAUUAAGAAAGAGUUUAUGACGAUCAGAAAUUAUGGUCUUUUCCAUAUUUAUUGGCUGUCUUCUCCCUCUAAAACGCAGACUGCUUGAGAGCAAAGACCUUGUUGGGGAUCUAGUGGUAAAAACAUGUUAUGUACAAGGUGUCAAUAA